CGUAUUUACAAUCAGAAUCGAAAGACAAGACUGGAUAGUUGGUUGCGCGCUAACGCGCGCGAUAGAUCGCGAAACUCAUGGCGUGUGUGAGUGCAAGUGCGUGCUCGAAAUCUGAAACAACAAAGGAAGAGGAGGAAACUGUUCAAAAAAUUCAAUUAAAAGAUAACAAUGUCGAGGAAACACAUUCGUUAAUGGAAAAUCAUUCUACAAGGACUACUACUAAUGGUUUAUCAAAACCACCAGACGGAGGAUGGGGCUGGUUCGUCGUCCUUGCGUCCUUUCUCAUACACGUUAUUACCGAUGGGGUGACUUAUUCUUUUGGUGUUUUUUAUUUGGAACUUCUUUAUUACUUCGAGGAAGGAAAAGGAGCAACUGCUUGGAUUGCUUCCAUACUCGUUGGUGUAACUUUGUGUUCAGGUCCAAUAUCUGGAUUGUUUGUGAACAAAUAUGGCUGUCGAGCGGUAACCAUAGCAGGUUCAAUUUUAGCAAGUACUUGUCUGUUAGCAAGUGUAUGGGCAGGUAGUAUCAUUAUGUUAUACUUCACCAUUGGCCUUGGAACAGGUUUAGGUUUUGGAUUAAUAUAUUUACCAGCUAUAGUGAGCGUUACUUGUUACUUUGAAAAGUAUCGUUCGUUAGCUACGGGUAUAGCCGUUUGUGGUUCAGGUUUAGGAACUCUCGUUUUUGCUCCUUGUUUGGAAUCUCUUAUAUCAAAUUAUGGAUGGAGAGGAACAAUGAUGAUAUGUUCUGGUAUUGUUUUGAAUUGUAUUGUACUCGGAGCUUUUUUCAGACCACUCGAAACUCCAGUGUCUAAAAGGAAUCGUAAUUCAGAGGGAAUAUAUCAUGAAUUACAAAGUAGAGACAAAUUUACCAAUCAAGAUGAAUGUUCAAAUGAAGUUAACGAUCUGAAAAAUAAUAUUAAAUUCAAUAAUGUAAAUGAUAUUGAAAAGGAAGUUAUGCCACUUUCUUUUGGUAUGAGGACUGCUUUAAGUCAUCCUGUAUUAAUAACUAAAGUUAGCAGUCAUUAUAAACAAUCACUUAUAAGAGGAUUUGGAAGUGUCGAAGUGAACAGGUGUUACAACGGAUUUCAUCAUGGCAGUCUGGGAAACAUUCGUAAUUAUUCUAAAUCCUUGGAUGUUAAUAAUAAAGAGGAUAUUACUCACUCAGAUACAUAUUUUAAAAAUGUAUCGAAGAAUAUUGAAAUAAAUAAGGCUAAAAAUAAUACGGCAUUGUCCCCUAAAUCUGAAAAUACGAGAGAUAUACUUGAAGAUAUGGAGGAUACUUCUCUUUUAAAGAAUCCUAUGUUCAUUCUUUUUACAUUUUCUAAUUUUUGUACCAGUAUUGGAUUUAAUGUGCCUUAUAUAUACCUACUGCCACAAGCAGAAGAACGAGGAAUAAACAAAAGCUUAGCUAGUUAUUUACUUGCAAUUAUUGGAGUAGCUAAUACUUUAGGUCGUAUUAUUUUAGGAUAUGUAUCUGAUAAGCCAUGGAUCAAUCGACUUCUUGUCUAUAAUAUUUGUUUAACGAUAUGUGGUGCUGCUACACUAUUUAGCACUUUAUGUACCAAUUUUUAUACUUUUGCAUUUUACUGUAUCGUUUAUGGCUUUACUGCUGGAGCAUACGUAGGCCUUACUUCUGUUAUUUUAGUUGAUUUAUUAGGCUUAAGUCGUCUUACAAAUUCCUUUGGAUUAUUAUUACUUUUCCAAGGCUUUGCAUCUCUUCUUGGACCACCUAUAGCAGGUUGGUUAUAUGAUGGACUUGGUUCAUAUGACCCUGGUUUUUAUACUGCUGGCAGUAUGAUUGCUAUUAGUGGUUUAAUAUUAUUUUUAAUUCCUUUAUUACAAAAACAAGAAGAUGCAAGAAAACUGAAGAGAUUAGGUGGAAUGAAUUCUCAAAUAGCAUAGACUGAAUAUAAAAAUUACACAUAUAUCCUUAAACGAUAUACUUCUGAUAAUUAUAAUAAAACGACAAAAUAAUAAAUUGAAGUAAAAAGAUAAAUCAAAUUUACAAUUAGUCCUUUCUAUUCAAAUGAAGCAUUAUAUGCCGCCUAACAAUUGCGCAUGCGCACAAAAUUCUUCAUUCCGGUAAGAACCAAUAAAAAUGAUUAUAACAGUACUACGGUUGGGGUAUAGUGGGGGAAGACGUAAUAGAACAGAACAAAGAGAACCUCCAUCUUGGACUGUGGUGCUUUCAUCAAUAAAUUAAAAAGAACGACUUGUGUGUGUUUUUUUUUAAUUAAAAAUUAGAAUUAAAUUAAAAAAAAAAA
rnacentral:misc_RNA from 1 species